rnacentral:rRNA from 1 species
GAUGAACGCUGGCGGCGUGCCUAAUACAUGCAAGUCGAGCGAACGGACGAGAAGCUUGCUUCUCUGAUGUUAGCGGCGGACGGGUGAGUAACACGUGGAUAACCUACCUAUAAGACUGGGAUAACUUCGGGAAACCGGAGCUAAUACCGGAUAAUAUUAUGAACCGCAUGGUUCAAAAGUGAAAGACGGUCUUGCUGUCACUUAUAGAUGGAUCCGCGCUGCAUUAGCUAGUUGGUAAGGUAACGGCUUACCAAGGCAACGAUGCAUAGCCGACCUGAGAGGGUGAUCGGCCACACUGGAGCUGAGACACGGACCAGACUCCUAAGGGAGGCAGCAGUAGCGAAUCUUCCGCAAUAGGCGGAAGCCUGACGGAGCAACGCCGCGUGAGUGAUGAAGGUCUUCGGAGCGUAAAACUCUGUUAUUAGGGAAGAACAUAUGUGUAAGUAACUGUGCACAUCUUGACGGUACCUAAACAGAAAGCCACGGCUAACUACGUG